GGAAAGGGAGCUGGCCAGGGACAAGGAGAAGAUCCAGGCGGAGAGUAAAUAUUUGGCGGUUGUGUUGGGGCCUCAUAAACGGUAGCUCUGGGCUGAGGGCAAACAAAUAAUGAAAGACAAGGUGUGGCCAAUGAGUAGAAGAAAUGUAUCCACGGGCGAGGUCUGCUUGGGCCUAAUUUUAGAAGACUCCUUAGCACACUCACAGCACAACUAGGUGGUAAUGGCUGGCAGGAGCGGGGCAUGCAGCUGCCACCAAACAACCCCACAGGCAGGAGAAGGACAGUUGACCUGAGUUGGGUCCAACAGGAUCCAGUUGUU